GUUCUAUAGUGAACAUUCCGACCAAUGAGCGAUGUCACCUGACCUCCCUACUGACGCACUUUUCAGGACUGCAGUCAAAGCGAAAGGGGCGUAGUUCGGGAAGUCGAAAUAACGCGACAACAAAAGAGAGUUUGUUCUCGUCAAGUGCAAGAGACGGAAAUUCCACUGUUGACAACACAUCUCGUCCCCAUGAUCUGUCUUGAAGGCAUUA